ensembl:lncRNA
GUAAUAGUAGUAAUAGUGGUGGUAGUAGUAGUAAUAGUAGUAGUUAUAAUAUUAGACGUAGUAGUGGUAGAAGUAGUAAUAGUAAGUAGUAGUAGUGCAGUAGUAGUAGUAGAGGUAUGUAGUAAUAUUAGUAGUAGCUGUGGUAGUAGUAGUAGCAGCAGCAGUAGUAAUAGUAGUGGUAGUAGCAGUAGUAAUAGUAGUGGUAGUCGUAGUAGUGGUAGUAGUAGCAGUAGUAAUAGUUGUAGUAGUAGCAGUAGUAAUAGUAGUGGUAGUAGCAGUAGUAGUGGUAGUAGCGGUAGCAGUAGUAAUAGUAGUGGUAGUAGUAGCAGUAGUAGUGGUAGUAGUAGCAGUAGUAGUGGUAGUAGUAGUAGGAGUAGUAGGAGUAGAAGUGGUGGUAGUAGUAGUAGUGGUAGUAGCGGUAGCAGUAGUAAUAGUAGUGGUAGUAGUAGUAGGAGUAGUAGGAGUAGUGGUGGGUGGUAGUAGUAGUAAUAGUAAUGGUAGUAGCGGUAGUAGUAGCAGUAGUAGUGUAGUAGCAGUAGUGAUAGUAAUAGUAGUGGUGGUAGUAGUAGUAGUAGUAGUAGUAGUGUAGUAGCAGUAGUGAUAGUAAUAGUAGUGGUGGUAGUAGUAGUAGUAGUGUAGUAGCAGUAGUAGUAGUGGUGGUGGUGGUAUUAGUAGCAGUAGUAGUGUAAUAGCAGUAGUAGUGGUAUUAGUAAUAGUAAUAGUAGUAGCAUAGUAGUAGCAGUAGUACUAAUAGUAGUGGUUGUAGUAGCAGUAGUAGUUGUAGUGGUGGUAGUAGCAGUAGUAGUAGUGGUGGUAUUGGUAAUAGGAAUAGUACUAAUAGUAGUGGUGGUAGUGUGUAGUAGUGGUAGUAGUAGUGUAGUAGUAGUUGUAGUGGUAUUGGUAAUAGAAGUAGUAGUGUAGUAGCAGUAGUAUUAGUAGUAGUAGUGGUAGUAGUAGUAAUAGUAGUGGUAGUAGUAGUGUAGUAGUGGUAGUAGUAGUAGUAAUAGUGGUAGUAGUAGUGUAGUAGCGGUAGUAGUAGUAAUAGUAGUGGGUAUAGUAGUGUAGUAGUGGUAGUAGUAGUAAUAGUAGUGGUAGUAGUAGUGUAGUAGCGGUAGUAGUAGUAUAGUAAGUGGUAGUAGUAGUGUA